rnacentral:lncRNA from 1 species
UGCCUAUUGUGGUCCAAUAUCCAAACUCUAAAAGCACAUUAAAUUCAGCAUGUCCAAGAAAACCAUUAAUUUCAUUUAUGUAUUAAUAAGUGGGCAACAUUAGCAAAGUUUUUAAAAAUCUCCAUAAAGGAAAUUUAUAAGUGAUCAACCUCUACAAGGAUCAACUGUCCACAACCUCAAUUACUCAAAUGUAUUCUACAAAGUUUUAUAUUUACACCCAUGUAUAGAAACUAUUCUGUUUUAAGUGGGUACUACAUUGUUCUUUCCUGUAUGUUCUGUUUUAACAGGCCCAAUUUGAUGAUGCUACAUAUUACAAAGUUUAACCAAAUUGUUUUUGCACAGAACUCUGCUGAAGUCGGAGCUAUGGGCUGUCUUACACUUGCUGUGAGGUAAUUUGUUUUCUAUGUUAUGAA